AUUGAACGCUGGCGGCAGGCCUAACACAUGCAAGUCGAACGAGUGGCGGACGGGUGAGUAAUGCCUGGGCAACUGCCCGUUGGAGGGGGAUAACUACUGGGAAAGGUAGCUUAUACCGCAUACCAUCGGAUGUGCCAAGAUGGGAUUAGCUAGUGGGUGGGGUAACGGCUCACCUAGGCGACGAUCCCUAGCUGGUCUGAGAGGAGGACCAGCCACACGGGAACUGAGACACGGCCCAGACUCCUACGGGAGGCAGCAGUGGGGAAUAUUGCACAAGGGGCGCAAGCCUGAUGCAGCCAUGCCGCGUGUAUGAAGAAGGCCUUCGGGUUGUAAAGUACUUUCAGCGAGGAGGCGUUACUCGCAGAAGAAGCAUCGGCUAACUCCGUGCCAGCAGCCGCGGUAAUAC
rnacentral:rRNA from 1 species